CCUACGGGAGGCAGCAGUGGGGAAUAUUGGACAAUGGGCGCAAGCCUGAUCCAGCCAUACCGCGUGUGUGAAGAAGGCCUUCGGGUUGUAAAGCACUUUAAGCAGGGAGAAAAAGUUAUAAGUUAAUACCUUAUAACCGUGAUGUUACCUGCAGAAUAAGCACCGGCUAAUUCCGUGCCAGCAGCCGCGGUAAUACGGAAGGUGCAAGCGUUAAUCGGAAUUACUGGGCGUAAAGCGCGCGUAGGUGGUUUGUUAAGUUGGAUGUGAAAGCCCUGGGCUCAACCUAGGAACUGCAUCCAAAACUAACUCACUAGAGUACGAUAGAGGGAGGUAGAAUUCAUAGUGUAGCGGUGGAAUGCGUAGAUAUUAUGAAGAAUACCAGUGGCGAAGGCGGCCUCCUGGAUCUGUACUGACACUGAGGUGCGAAAGCGUGGGUAGCGAACAGGAUUAGAUACCCUGGUAGUCCACGCCGUAAACGAUGACAACUAGCUGUUGGGAGACAAUGUCUUUCAGUGGCGCAGCUAACGUUUUAAGUUGUCCGCCUGGGGAGUACGGCCGCAAGGCUAAAACUCAAAUGAAUGACGG
rnacentral:rRNA from 1 species